GAUGAACGCUGGCGGCGUGCUUAACACAUGCAAGUCGAACGGUGAACGAGGGAGCUUGCUCCCUCCGGAUCAGUGGCGAACGGGUGAGUAACACGUGAGCAAUCUGCCCUGGACUCUGGGAUAAGCGUUGGAAACGACGUCUAAUACCGGAUACGAGACGCGAAGGCAUCUUCAGCGUCUGGAAAGAACUUCGGUCCAGGAUGAGCUCGCGGCCUAUCAGGUAGUUGGUGAGGUAACGGCUCACCAAGCCUACGACGGGUAGCCGGCCUGAGAGGGUAACCGGCCACACUGGGACUGAGACACGGCCCAGACUCCUACGGGAGGCAGCAGUGGGGAAUAUUGCACAAUGGGCGCAAGCCUGAUGCAGCAACGCCGCGUGAGGGACGACGGCCUUCGGGUUGUAAACCUCUUUUAGCAGGGAAGAAGCGAAAGCGACGGUACCUGCAGAAAAAGCACCGGCUAACUACGUGCCAGCCGCCGCCGUAAUAC
rnacentral:rRNA from 1 species